GGUCUGCAGAUGCUGGAGAUCAGAGCUGAAAAUGUGUUGUUGGAAAAGCGCAGCAGGUCAGGGAGCAUCCUAGGAACAGGAAAUUCGACGUUUCGGGCAUAAGCCCUUCAUCAGGAAUGAGGAGCUGAGCAGAACCAUAGGGUGCACAGCUGGCUAAGAGAGCAUCGGUACUGCAACAGGAAUGUCUGAGAUGCCUAAGCCUAGAGGAGAUCACUAAAGUGACAAGCAUGCCCUCUUGAAAUGAAUGCGAACGUUGGGUUUGUCUUCCUAACAACUGAAUCUGCAUGUUCACCUUAAGACAAUCCUCAACUGGAACUCCCAAAUCCCUUUGUGCUUCAGAAUUCUAGGCCUUGCCCCAUUUAGAAAAUAGUCUACACUGCUAUUCUUCUGACCAAAGUGCAUAACCUCACUUGUUGCCACAUUGUAUUCAAUCUGACAUUUCUUUGUCCACUCUCCUAGCCUGUUCUAGUCGUUCUGCACCUCCCCACUUCCCCAACACUA